rnacentral:rRNA from 1 species
CGUGGAGACAGGUGGUGCAUGGCUGUCGUCAGCUCGUGUCGUGAGAUGUUGGGUUAAGUCCCGCAACGAGCGCAACCCUCACCCCUUGUUGCCAUCAGGUCACGCUGGGCACUCUAGGGGAACUGCCCCGGUCAACGGGGAGGAAGGUGGGGACGACGUCAAGUCAUCAUGCCCCUUACGUCCUGGGCUACACACGUGCUACAAUGGCCGGUACAAAGGGAUGCAAGACCGUGAGGUGGAGCUAAACCCAAAAAGCCGGUCUAAGUUCAGAUUGGAGUCUGCAACUCGACUCCAUGAAGGAGGAAUCGCUAGUAAUCGCGCAUCAGCACGGCGCGGUGAAUACGUUCCCGGGCCUUGUACACACCGCCCGUCACACCACGAAAGUCUGCUGUACUCGAAGUCGCUGAG